CUUUUACAAAACAUUUCAUGAAGCACCUGACAUUUCCUUCACCAAAUGUGCAAUUUACUUGUAUCAUUCACAUAUAUGCAUUGCAACUGAUCCCAUUGAUUGUACAAACUUUAACAAGUAAUUGGUAUUGAAAAAUAUAGUAAUGCACUUUAUGAUUCAACAAGAUUUAUAAAGAAAUCAAGCCAGUGCCUCCUUUGCCACUCCUGGGCCGUGUUCGGCCCACAUGCAUUAUGCCAGUGCCGACUCAAGGCCAGCUGUGCCAGCUUCAUGCCGAAUCCGGGCCAGAUGCCUUUGCUGACUGGGUAGU